GUGCUUGCUUCAGCAGCACAUCUACUAAAAUUGGAACGAUGUAGAGAAGAUUAGCAGGAAUGACACACAAAUUUGUGAAGUGCUCCAUAUUGAA
rnacentral:snRNA from 1 species